rfam:Dipodomys ordii contig_41182, whole genome shotgun sequence.
GGUGGCUCAGUGGUAGAGCGCUUGCCUUGCAAGCUCGAGGCCCUGGGUUCGAUUCCUCAGUACCA